ACUGUGAGGUAUGCUGGAGGUAUCAGAAGUGCGAAUGCUGACAUAAGUAACGAUAAAGCGGGUGAAAAGCCCGCUCGCCGGAAGACCAAGGGUUCCUGUCCAACGUUAAUCGGGGCAGGGUGAGUCGACCCCUAAGGCGAGGCCGAAAGGCGUAGUCGAUGGGAAACAGGUUAAUAUUCCUGUACUUGGUGUUACUGCGAAGGGGGGACGGAGAAGGCUAUGUUGGCCGGGCGACGGUUGUCCCGGUUUAAGCGUGUAGGCUGGUUUUCCAGGCAAAUCCGGAAAAUCAAGGCUGAGGCGUGAUGACGAGGCACUACGGUGCUGAAGCAACAAAUGCCCUGCUUCCAGGAAAAGCCUCUAAGCAUCAGGUAACAUCAAAUCGUACCCCAAACCGACACAGGUGGUCAGGUAGAGAAUACCAAGGCGCUUGAGAGAACUCGGGUGAAGGAACUAGGCAAAAUGGUGCCGUAACUUCGGGAGAAGGCACGCUGAUAUGUAGGUGAAGCGACUUGCUCGUGGAGCUGAAAUCAGUCGAAGAUACCAGCUGGCUGCAACUGUUUAUUAAAAACACAGCACUGUGCAAACACGAAAGUGGACGUAUACGGUGUGACGCCUGCCCGGUGCCGGAAGGUUAAUUGAUGGGGUCAGCGCAAGCGAAGCUCUUGAUCGAAGCCCCGGUAAACGGCGGCCGUAACUAUAACGGUCCUAAGGUAGCGAAAUUCCUUGUCGGGUAAGUUCCGACCUGCACGAAUGGCGUAAUGAUGGCCAGGCUGUCUCCACCCGAGACUCAGUGAAAUUGAACUCGCUGUGAAGAUGCAGUGUACCCGCGGCAAGACGGAAAGACCCCGUGAACCUUUACUAUAGCUUGACACUGAACAUUGAGCCUUGAUGUGUAGGAUAGGUGGGAGGCUUAGAAGUGUGGACGCCAGUCUGCAUGGAGCCGACCUUGAAAUACCACCCUUUAAUGUUUGAUGUUCUAACGUUGACCCGUGAUCCGGGUUGCGGACAGUGUCUGGUGGGUAGUUUGACUGGGGCGGUCUCCUCCUAAAGAGUAACGGAGGAGCACGAAGGUUGGCUAAUCCUGGUCGGACAUCAGGAGGUUAGUGCAAUGGCAUAAGCCAGCUUGACUGCGAGCGUGACGGCGCGAGCAGGUGCGAAAGCAGGUCAUAGUGAUCCGGUGGUUCUGAAUGGAAGGGCCAUCGCUCAACGGAUAAAAGGUACUCCGGGGAUAACAGGCUGAUACCGCCCAAGAGUUCAUAUCGACGGCGGUGUUUGGCACCUCGAUGUCGGCUCAUCACAUCCUGGGGCUGAAGUAGGUCCCAAGGGUAUGGCUGUUCGCCAUUUAAAGUGGUACGCGAGCUGGGUUUAGAACGUCGUGAGACAGUUCGGUCCCUAUCUGCCGUGGGCGCUGGAGAACUGAGGGGGGCUGCUCCUAGUACGAGAGGACCGGAGUGGACGCAUCACUGGUGUUCGGGUUGUCAUGCCAAUGGCACUGCCCGGUAGCUAAAUGCGGAAGAGAUAAGUGCUGAAAGCAUCUAAGCACGAAACUUGCCCCGAGAUGAGUUCUCCCUG
rnacentral:rRNA from 1 species